UUAAAUUGAAGAGUUUGAUCAUGGCUCAGAUUGAACGCUGGCGGCAGGCCUAACACAUGCAAGUCGAACGGUAACAGGAAGAAGCUUGCUUCUUUGCUGACGAGUGGCGGACGGGUGAGUAAUGUCUGGGAAACUGCCUGAUGGAGGGGGAUAACUACUGGAAACGGUAGCUAAUACCGCAUAACGUCGCAAGACCAAAGAGGGGGACCUUCGGGCCUCUUGCCAUCGGAUGUGCCCAGAUGGGAUUAGCUUGUUGGUGGGGUAACGGCUCACCAAGGCGACGAUCCCUAGCUGGUCUGAGAGGAUGACCAGCCACACUGGAACUGAGACACGGUCCAGACUCCUACGGGAGGCAGCAGUGGGGAAUAUUGCACAAUGGGCGCAAGCCUGAUGCAGCCAUGCCGCGUGUAUGAAGAAGGCCUUCGGGUUGUAAAGUACUUUCAGCGGGGAGGAAGGGAGUAAAGUUAAUACCUUUGCUCAUUGACGUUACCCGCAGAAGAAGCACCGGCUAACUCCGUGCCAGCAGCCGCGGUAAUACGGAGGGUGCAAGCGUUAAUCGGAAUUACUGGGCGUAAAGCGCACGCAGGCGGUUUGUUAAGUCAGAUGUGAAAUCCCCGGGCUCAACCUGGGAACUGCAUCUGAUACUGGCAAGCUUGAGUCUCGUAGAGGGGGGUAGAAUUCCAGGUGUAGCGGUGAAAUGCGUAGAGAUCUGGAGGAAUACCGGUGGCGAAGGCGGCCCCCUGGACGAAGACUGACGCUCAGGUGCGAAAGCGUGGGGAGCAAACAGGAUUAGAUACCCUGGUAGUCCACGCCGUAAACGAUGUCGACUUGGAGGUUGUGCCCUUGAGGCGUGGCUUCCGGAGCUAACGCGUUAAGUCGACCGCCUGGGGAGUACGGCCGCAAGGUUAAAACUCAAAUGAAUUGACGGGGGCCCGCACAAGCGGUGGAGCAUGUGGUUUAAUUCGAUGCAACGCGAAGAACCUUACCUGGUCUUGACAUCCACGGAAGUUUUCAGAGAUGGAAUGGUGCCUUCGGGAACCGUGAGACAGGUGCUGCAUGGCUGUCGUCAGCUCGUGUUGUGAAAUGUUGGGUUAAGUCCCGCAACGAGCGCAACCCUUAUCCUUUGUUGCCAGCGGUCCGGCCGGGAACUCAAAGGAGACUGCCAGUGAUAAACUGGAGGAAGGUGGGGAUGACGUCAAGUCAUCAUGGCCCUUACGACCAGGGCUACACACGUGCUACAAUGGCGCAUACAAAGAGAAGCGACCUCGCGAGAGCAAGCGGACCUCAUAAAGUGCGUCGUAGUCCGGAUUGGAGUCUGCAACUCGACUCCAUGAAGUCGGAAUCGCUAGUAAUCGUGGAUCAGAAUGCCACGGUGAAUACGUUCCCGGGCCUUGUACACACCGCCCGUCACACCAUGGGAGUGGGUUGCAAAAGAAGUAGGUAGCUUAACCUUCGGGAGGGCGCUUACCACUUUGUGAUUCAUGACUGGGGUGAAGUCGUAACAAGGUAACCGUAGGGGAACCUGCGGUUGGAUCACCUCCUUACCUUAAAGAAGC
rnacentral:rRNA from 1 species